rnacentral:lncRNA from 1 species
CGAGGUCGUGGGUUCGAUUUUAUAACCUUGAGUUUUUAAAAUUUUAUUUAAGAAUUGGUUAAACGAAAAAGAAAACAGCUGUAAUGCAAGGUAGUGGGUCUCAAACCAGCGACCUACGGGUUGAGCGGGCAAGGGACGACCAUAUUUGCCAACAGACCACAGCUGGUUCAAUGUUAGAAAGAGUUUAUGUCCUACUUGACUAUGUUGUAGCCAUUCAAAUUCAAAAUUUUCAAAUAAUUUGAAUUUUUUGCUCGGUACGCAGCUUACUCGUGGGUAGCGAGAAACGCGGAUACCGGGCGGUAUCCGAAUUUUCCGCCCAGUACCCAAAACCAUGCUUCUAUCUAUGUACUGUACUAGCUAACCAGCUCUCACUUAUCCACGUAUUGACAUAUGUAUUGUACUGUACUUCUAUGUACUGUACUGUACUUCCAUGCCAAUUCCUCUUAAUAAAGUUAUUUUUAGUAAGAAUGACUCCGCGAUGAAGAUACCAUGCAAAGAUUUUAUUCUUAAGAGGUAUCUUCAUCUUCUAGAUCUUCUUAUUAUUAUCAACUGGCACGUCAGACUGAAUCAAAGCUCUAUUCAUUGCCUGGUCAUUUUGAUUUGUAAGUGAAACAAUACCUUAGCGGGGCAGUUAAUCAUUUUGAUUUGUUGGCCAUCAUGAGCCCAGUAACACAACAUAACUCUUCAUUGUUAAUCCAAAAGUUAAUGCAAGUGAAUGACCAGCAGAAUUCUACAUUUUGAUUUGUCGGCCAUCCCGUGCCCGGUAACACAACAGAACUCUAUGUCGGCGAUUCUUCUGAGCGAAACAAAUGCACUGGAAAGAGGAAGCAGUCGUCGACCCAGUCGGCCGAGUCCACCGGUACGGUGAACCCGGAGGCACCGGGAUGGACAAGAAGGUAUACGUGCAAUCACUACUGUUAAUUUUUUUAGGUUGCUUACCACUUGGACCAUGUGGUAAUCACUACUGUUAUUAAUUGCAAAUUAGUACGAAAAAAAUAUAGCCCACUAUGAGAUAUGUUUGAGUGGCAUUCGUACUAAAGGCACCUAAAUUUUUUUUGACACUUAAGACAGUAGGAGAGGCUCCUACUGUAUGUAAUAAAAUAGUAUCAAAGGGUCUUACAAAGUUGUAACCUUACAUCCAUUGCCAUGAUGGAGAUAGAGGGAGGGGGGAGGCUAAAGAAAGACCAAGAAGGAAACUAAAACCUAUCUAUAAAAGAGGUUAGAAAGGGUCUGUGCUUUUCUCCCACCCUAUAGCAAAGCAGGGAGAGGUCUUCUUUCAAUCAGAGUCCUCCAAGACUAUUUUGAAGGGGUGAUCCCUCUGAAGUGUUUAUUAUUUCUCUCCUUCCAUAUGCUCCAUGUAGCUUGCAAAAAGAUAUCCAUGAACAUGGAUUUGUUCCAUGUAGUUUUUGCCUUUUCUAUCCAGUGGAGCCUUGUGCCUUGCGUGAGCCAGCUUAUGUUGAAUUGUGUCCAACAUUCUUGGCUAAAUGGGCAAGUAAAAAAUAGAUGUUCCAAUGUUUCCUCUAGUGGAGAGUCACACAGAAGGCAUGUGUAGUUGUCUCCGAUGUUGUAAUGUCUCCUUUUGAGCAUAUUUCUCGUGUUGAGUCUAUCUGAUAGGAGAAGCCAGCCAAACACCUUGAUUUUCAUGGUAACUUUGGAUUCCCAAAGCCAUUUGUAGGACUGGUGGACAUCGAUCUCUCUGAAGUAGUGUGAGUAAUAUUGUUUGGCUGUAUAGUCUCCUUUUCCCCAGUUGCAUGUCCACUUGUCCUCUCCUUGGAUCAGAUUAAUAGGAGCCAACAUUUGUUGCAUUGUCAACAAUUCCUCAUGUGCCUAUUCGAACAAGGGGAGGUGGAAUGUUCCCCCAGUGUUUGUGCCGUUAGAAACUCUUGGACUGAGAUAUCCUCAUUUCUGGUAAAAGAGAAGGCUCUUGGGAACCUAUCAACCAGGAUAUCAUCUCUCCAUAGGUCUUUGCAUAGCAAAGUGUUGUGUCCAUCCUGGAUUGUGGUCUUGGUUAUGCAUCUGUAGAUAGGCAUGAGCUUGGUGAUAUCUUUCCACCAGAGGGAACCACAUGCAUCCGUUUCAUGUGGUAUUUUCAUGGUAUAGUAAGUGUUCCAGAUUAGUUCCACCCAAGGCAAGUCCCGGUGCUUAUAGAAUUUAUGGAGAUAUUUAAGUAGCAAGGCUUCACUUUGUGUUCGUAGGUCCAGAAUACCCAUCCCUCCACAUUUCUUGGGCUUGCAAAUCAUGUCCCAAGCCGCCAGAGAGUUGCAUGAUUCUCCUUGUUCUGUUUUUUGGGUCCAUAAACACUUCCGUCUGAUCUUGUCUAACAGCUCAAGUAUGCUUGCGAGUAGUUUAAGUGUGCAUAGAGCAAAGAUAGUCAACGAGGUGAUCACGGAGUUAACUAGAGAUAGUUUUGCUCCAUAAGAAAUCAUGUUGAGAUUAGCUGUAAGACGUCUUUCCACUUUACAUACCAUCGGCAUUAGAUCUUGAAAUGAAGGUCAUGUUGAUCCCAAAGGCAGUCCCAGGUAUGUGAACGACAUUUUACCAAUGAUGCAACCAAAGAUCUGGGCUAUGUUUCCACUUAGAGUGUCAUCGCAAUUUAUUGGGAUCAGAGUCAAUUUGUGAAAGUUAAUCUUCAAACCAAUGGAAGUUGCAUAAUCAGACAAGAUUUGCUUGAUCGUUGAUGCUUGCAUUUCACAGGCAGGAAGGACAAUGAUUGUGUCGUCGGCAUAUUGAAUAACAGGAUAAUCUUUUUGUGUGGUGCACGGGAAAGGCAGCUGAAUCGCACCUUGGAUAAAAACAUCAUUAAUGACAGCUUCUAGUAAAUCGGCUGCCAGCACAAAAAUUAAAGGAGAUAGCAGAUCUCCUUGGCGCACUCCACUUUUGCAGUGAAACUGACGACCUGGCUCUCCAUUGAGCAGAACUGAUGAUUUACCAGAUGAUAAGAUGGCCUUGAUCCAGUCUUGGUGCACUCCACUUCUGCAGUGAAACUAACGACCUGGCACUCAAUUGAGCAGAACUGAAGAUUUACCAGAUGAUAAGAUGGCCUUGAUAUAGUCUAGCCACUUAGCGUUGAAUCCCAUGUGUUGCAUUAUAUCUAACAUGGCAUCAUGUUCAAUUGUGUCGAAUGCUUUAGCGAAAUCAAGCUUGAGUAGGACUAUUGGUUUUUUCGAGGCUUGGUAUUGAUAGAUAUACUCAAAUGCCCAUGCCAGACAGUCUUGGAUCGAUCGACCUUUCAGAAACCCGUAUUGGUUUCGAUGCACAAUCUUCAGUCUGAGUCUUUGUAGUCGGUUGGCAAGUAGCUUGGUGAUUAUCUUAAGACAACAUUUAAGUAAUGUGAUGGGUCUGAAAUCAUUGAUUGAAGUUGGUGUAUUAAUUUUUGGUACCAAGGUAAUGAAACCCUCAUUGAUGCUCUCUAGGUUUAGAUUGCCGUCAUGGAAUUGAUUGCAUAAUUUAUAGAAGUCCUCUUUCAUCACAUGCCAACAGGUUUUAAUAAAAUGUUCAGUGAAACCAUCCGGUCCUGGUGCUCUUUCCGCAGGCAUAUAUUUUAUUACAUCGUCAAUUUCUUGGUGUGUGAAUGGCACGGUGAGUUGAUCGAGAUCUUCAACCUGUUUGAUGAUUCUAGCCAGAUCAAAUUUCAUCUCAUGUUUUGUAGAAGAGCCAAGGCGCUUUUUGAAAGCUUGGAAAAUUACCGCCUCUUUCCCUGCAUGAACUUCUGCACAAAUUCCAUCUUCCGUGGUAACAGAUGCAAUAUUAUUCCUUCUAUACCUUUUUGAAGCCAUAGCUUGGAAAAACUUAGGCUGCUCAUCACCAAACUUGACCCAUCGUAUGGUGCAUCGUCGUCUCCAGUAUUCUUUCUGGUAAGCCAGAAGCCACAAAAUAUGUUUUUUAGGUAUGCAACGAAAGUUGGCCUCCGGAAUGGUGAGAUGACGUUUGUUUUCGAGUUCAUCAAUUUCAAAAAGUGCUCUAUUUGAGUUUUCAAUGGCAAUGGAGAGUUUGGAUAUACCUUUGCUCAUGGACUUAAGAUCAUGCCUCAAUAACUUAAAUUUUCGAGAUAUGAUAGUGGCCAUAUUGUCAGAUUGAAUAGGUUUGGACCAAGCUUUAUUGAUCGUAUCUAGAAAACCAGGGUGGUGCACCCAAUAGGAUUCAAACCUGAAUAUUUUUGACCGGGGGAUGGAAGUCUCAAUGCUGACAACACAGGGAAUAUGAUCUGAUACCGGCCAGCCUAGGGGUUUAAACAGAGUCUUAGGGUAAAUUGAAGUCUAGUUGUUGCUAGUAAAAAACCAAUCAAUUUGUUCUAGGAGUGGGUCAAGUUGCAUAUUGCUCGAGGUGUAAGCUCUUCCUUUGAUUGGGAGUUCAACUAGACUAUGUGUGCGGAUGAAGUCAUUAAAAGUGAUCAUGUCCCCAAAAUUGUUGGAAAUAUGCCCUAGAGGAAAUAAUAAAAUGGUUAUUAUUGUAUUUCCUUGUUCAUGAUAAUUGUCUAUUGUUCAUGCUAUAAUUGUAUUAACUGGAAACCGUAAUACAUGUGUGAAUACAUAGACCACAACAUGUCCCUAGUGAGCCUCUAGUUGACUAGCUCGUUGAUCAAUAGAUGCUUAUGGUUUCAUGGACAUUAGAUGUCAUUGAUAACGGGAUCACAUCAUUAGGAGAAUGAUGUGAUGGACAAGACCCAAUCCUAAGCAUAGCACAAGAUCGUGUAGUUCGUUUGCUAAAUCUUUUCUAAUGUCAAGUAUCAUUUCCUUAGACCAUGAGAUUGUGCUACUCCCGGAUACCGUAGGAAUGCUUUGGGUGUGCCAAACGUCACAACAUAACUGGGUGGCUAUAAAGGUGCACUACGGGUAUCUCCGAAAGUGUCUGUUGGGUUGGCACGAAUCGAGACUGGGAUUUGUCACUCCGUGUGACGGAGAGGUAUCUCUGGGCCCACUCGGUAAUGCAUCAUCAUAAUGAGCUCAAUGUGACUAAGUAGUUAGUCACGGGAUCAUGCAUUAUGGAACGAGUAAAGUGACUUGCCGGUAACGAGAUUGAACGAGGUAUUGGGAUACCAACGGUCGAAUCUCGGGCAUGUAACAUACCGAUUGACAAAGGGAAUUGCAUACGGGAUUGCUUGAAUCCUUGACAUCGUGGUUCAUCCGAUGAGAUCAUCGUGGAACAUGUGGGAGCCAACAUGGGUAUCCAGAUCCCGCUGUUGGUUAUUGGCCGGAGAGAUGUCUCGGUCAUGUCUGCAUGGUUCCCGAACCCGUAGGGUCUACACACUUAAGGUUCGGUGACGUUAGAGUUGUUAUGGGAAAUAGUAUGUGGUUACCGAAGGUAGUUCGGAGUCCCGAAUUAGAUCCCGGACAUGACGAGGAGCUCCGGAAUGGUCCGGAGGUGAAGAUCGGUAUAUUGGACGAAGGGUAUUGGAGUCCAGAACUGUUCCGGGGGUGUGUUUCGGGAGCCCCGGCAAGUGUUGGAGGGCCUCAUGGGCCAUGGGGAAGGGGAAAACCAGCCCACUAAGGGGUGGUGCGCCCCCCCCCCCCACCCUUUCCCAUGUUAUUUAGGGAGGUGGGGCGCCUCCACCUGGCUUGGGAGGCAAUCCUCCACCUGCUUGGCUUGGGGGCAAGUCUCCCUAGGAUUUUCCUAGGGAGAUCCAAUCUGCUUGGCCGCCGCCCCCUAGGGGAAACCCUAGGGCGCCUCCCCCUCUCCCCUUGCCCCUAUAUAUAUAUAUAUAUAGUGGAGGGAUGGGAGGGCAGCCGCACCUCUUCCCUGGCGCAUCCCUCUCCCUCCUCCAACACCUCCUCCUCCUCCUCCGUAGUGCUUGGCGAAGCCCUGCCGGAGAACCACGAGCUCCAUCACCACCAUGCCGUCGUGUUGUCGGAGUUUUCCCUCAACUUCUCCUCUCCCCUUGCUGGAUCAAGGAGGGGGAGACGUCCCCGGGUUGUACGUGUGUUGAACGCGGAGGCACAGUUGUUCGGUGCUUAGAUCGGAAUCAACCGCGAUCUGAAUCGCUACGAGUACGACUCCUUCAUCCACGUUCUUGCAACGCUUCCGCUUAGUGAUCUUCAAGGGUAUGAAGAUGCACUCCCCUCUCUCUCGUUGCUAGUCUCUCCAUAGAUUGAUCUUGGUGAUGCCUAGAAAAUUUUGAAUUUUUGCUAUGUUCCCCAAGAGUGGCAUCAUGAGCUAGGUCUAUUGCGAAGAUUCUAUGCAUGAGUAGAACACAAGUUAUUGUGGGCGUUGAUUUUGUUCAAUAUGCUCACCGUUACUAGUCCUAUAUUGUUUCGACGGUAUUGUUGGAUGAAGCGGCCCGGACCGACCUUACACGUACACUUACGUGAGACAGGUUCCACCGACUGACAUGCACUUGUUGCAUAAGGUGGCUAGCGGGUGCCAGUCUCUCCCACUUUAGUCGGAUCAGAUUCGAUGAAAAGGGUCCUUAUGAAGGGUAAAUAGAAAUUGGCAUAUCACGUUGUGGUUUUGGCGUAGGUAAGAAACGUUCUUGCAAGAAACCUAUAGUAGCCACGUAAAAAACUUGCAACAACAAUUAGAGGACGUCUAACUUGUUUUUGCAGCAUAUGCCGUGUGAUGUGAUAUGGCCAAGAAGGAUGUGAUGAAUGAAAUAUAUGUGAUGUAUGAGAUUGAUCAUAUUCUUGUAAUAGGAAUCACGACUUGCAUGUCGAUGAGUAUGACAACCGGCAGGAGCCAUAGGAGUUGUCUUUAUUUAUUAUGACCUGUGAGUCACUGAAUAACGCCAUGUAAUUACUUUACUUCAUUGCUAAACCGUUAGCCAUAGUAGUAGAAGUAAUAAGUUGGUGAGACAACUUCAUGGAGACACGAUGAUGGAGAUCAUGAUGAUGGAGAUCAUGGUGUCAUGCCGGUGACGAUGAUGAUCAUGGAGCCCCGGAGAUGGAGAUCAAAAGGAGCAAAAUGAUAUUGGCCAUAUCAUGUCACUAUUUGAUUGCAUGUGAUGUUUAUCAUGUUUAUGCAUCUUAUUUUCUUAGAACGACGGUAGUAAAUAAGAUGAUCCCUCAUAAUAAUUUCAAGAAAGUGUUCCCCCUAACUGUGCACCGUUGCGAAAGAUCGUUGCUUAGAAGCACCACGUGAUGAUCGGGUGUGAUAGAUUCUAACGUUCACAUAUAACGGGUGUAAGCCAGAUUUACACACGCGAAACACUUAGGUUGACUUGACGAGCCUAGCAUGUACAGACAUGGCCUCGGAACACAAGAGACCGAAAGGUCGAGCAUGAGUCAUAUAGUAGAUACGAUCAACAUGAAUAUGUUCACCGAUGAUGACUAGUCCGUCUCACGUGAUGAUCGGACACGACCUAGUUGACUCGGAUCAUGUAUCACUUAGGAUGACUAGAGGGAUGUCUAUCUGAGUGGGAGUUCAUUAGAUGAACUUAGUUAUCAUGAACAUAGUCAAAAGGUCUUUGCAAAUUAUGUCGUAGCUUGCGUUUUAGUUCUACUGUUUUAGAGAUGUUCCAAGGGCUGAAAUUGGGAUUUCAGGCUAGUGCCCAUGUCAAGAGGUAUGAGACCUCUGACGAGUUUCUUAACUUACAAACAAAGGGAGAAAAGCUCAAUCGUUCAGCUUGUACUUAGAUUGUCUGGGUACAACAAUCACUUGAAUCGAGUGGGAGUUAAUCUUCCAGAUGAGAUAGUGAUGUUUCUCCAAAGUCAUUGCCACCAAGCUACUAGAGCUUCGUGAUGAACUAUAACAUAUUAGUGAUAGAUAUGAUGAUCCUUGAAAUAUUCGCGAUGUUUGACACCGCGAAAGUGGAAAUCAAGAAGGAGCAUCAAUUGUUGAUGGUUAGUGAAACCACUAGUUUCAAGAAGGGCAAGGGCAAAAAGGGAUACUUCAUGAUAUGGCAAAUCAGUUGCUGCUCUAGUGAAGAAACCCAAGGUUGAACCCAAACCCGAGACUAAGUGCUUCUCUAAUGAGGGGAACAGUCACUGAAGCAGAACUACCCUAGAUACUUGGUAGAUGAGAAGGCUGGCAAGGUCGACAGAAGUAUAUUGGAUAUACAUUAUAUUGAUGUGCACUUUACUAGUACUCCUAGUAGCACCAUGGUAAUAGAUACCGGUUCAGUUGCUAAGUGUUAGUAACUCGAAAAGGCUACGGAAUAAACGGAGACUAGCUAAAGGUGAGAUGACGAUAUGUGUUGGAAGUGUUUCCAAGCUUGAUGUGAUCAAGCAUCGCAUACUCUCUCUACCAUCGAGAUUGGUGUUAAACCUAAAUAAUUGUUAUUUGGUGUUUGCGUUGAGCAUAGACAUGAUUGGAUUAUGUCUAUCGCAAUACGGUUAAUCAUUUAAGGAGAAUAAUGGUUACUCUGUUUAUUUGAAUAAUACCUUCAAUGGUCUUGCACCUAAAAUGAAUGGUUUAUUGAAUCUCGGUUGUAGUGAUACGCAUGUUCAUGCCAAAAGAUAUAAGAUAGUAAUGAUAAUACCACAUACUUGUGGCACUGCCAUUUGAGUCAUAUUGGUAUAAAACGCAUGAAGAAGCUCCAUGUUGAUGGAUCUUUGGACUCACUCGUUUUUGAAAAGAUUGAGACAUGCGAACCAAGUCUAUUGGUAUAUACACAUGAAGAAACUCCAUGCAGAUGGAUCGUUUGGACUCACUUGAUUUUGAAUCACUUGAGUCAUGCAAAUCAUACCACAUGGGUAAUAUGACUGAAAGACCUCGUUUUCAGUGAAAUGGAACAAGAAAGCAACUUGUUGGAAGUAAUACAUUUUUAUGUGUGCAGUCCAAUGAGUGCUGAGGCACGUAGUGGAUGUCGUUAUGUUCUUACUUCACAGAUGAUUUGAGUAGAUGUUGAGUAUAUUUACUUGAUGAAACACAAGUCUGAAUUAUUGAAAGGUUCGAGUAAUUUCAGAGUGAAGUUGAAGAUCAUCGUGACAAGAGGAUAAAAUGUCUAUGAUAUGAUCAUAGAGAUGAAUAUCUGAGUUAUGAAUUUGGUAUACAAUUAAGACAUUGUGGAAAUUGUUUCACAACUAAUACCGCCUGGAACACCAUAGUGUGAUGGUGUGUCCGAACAUCAUAGAUGCUCCCUAUUGGAUAUGGGGCAUACCAUGAUGUCUCUUAUCGAAUUACCACUAUCGUUUAUGGGUUAGGCAUUAGAGACAACCGCAUUCACUUCAAAUAGGGCACCACGUAAUUCUGUUGAGAUGACAGUGUACGAACUAUGGUUUAGAGAAACCUAGGUUGUCGUUUCUUGAAAGUUUGGGGCUGCGACGCUUAUGUGAAAAAGUUUCAUCCUGAUAAGCUCGAACCCAAAGCGGAUAAAUACAUCUUCAUAGGACACCCAAAACAGUUGGUAUACCUCCUAAUUCAGAUCCGAAAGCAAAAGUAAUUGUUUUUAGAAACGGGUCCUUUCUAGAGAAAAAGUUUCUCUCGAAAGAAUUGAGUGGGAGGAUGGUGGAGACUUGAUGAGGUUAUUGAACCAUCACUUCAACCAGUGUGUAGCAGGGCACAGGAAGUUGUUCCUGUGGCACCUACACCAAUUGAAGUGGAAGUUGAUGAUAGUGAUCAUGAAACUUCGGAUCAAGUCACUACCAAACCUUGUAGGACGACAAAGACGCGUACUGCUUCAGAGUGGUACGGUAAUCCUGUCUUCGAGGUCAUGUUGCUAGACAACAAUGAACCUACGAGCUAUGGAGAACCGAUGGUGGGCCCGAAUUCUGACAAAUGGCUCGAGGCCAUAAAAUCCGAGAGAGGAUCAAUGUAUGAAAACAAAGUGUAGACUUCGAAAGAACUACUUGAUGGUCGUAAGGCUGUUGGAUACAGAUGGAUCUUAAAAGGAAGACGGAGAAUGCUGGUAAGUAUCACCAUUAAGAAAGCUUGACUUGUAGUUAAGAUAUUUUCCGACAAGUUCAAGGAGUUGACUACGAUGAGACUUUCUCACUCGUAGCGAUGCUAAGAGUCUGUUGGAAUUAUAUUAGCAAUUACUGCAUGAUUUAUGAAAUCUUGCAGAUAGGAUGUCAAAACAUUGUUUCCUCGACGAUAUUCUUGAGGAAAGGUUGUAUGUGAUACAACCAGAAGGUUUUGUCAAUCCUGAAAGAUGCUAACAAGUACGCAAAGCUCCAGCAAUCCUUCUAAGGACUGGAGUAAGCAUCUCAGAGUUGGAAUAUACGCUUUGAUGAGAUGAUCAAAGAUUUUGGGUUUACACAAUGUUUAUGAGAAACUUGUAUUUCCAAAGAAGUGAGUGGGAGCACUAUAGCAUUUCUGAUGAGUAUAUGUUGUUGACAUAUUGUUGAUCAGAAAUGAUGUGGAAUUUCUCGAAAGCAUAAAGGGUUAUUUGAAAAGUGUUUUUCAAUGGAAACCCUGGAUUAAGCUACUUGAACAUUGAGCAUCAAGAUCUAUAAGGAUACAUCAACAACGCUUAAUAGUACUUUCAAAUGAACACAUACCGUGACAAGAUUUUGAAGGAGUUCAAAAUAGAUCGGCAAAGAAGGAGUUCUUGGCUGUGUUAUAAGGUGUGAGUAUUUGGUAAGACUCAAGACAUGACCACGGCAGAAGAGAAGAAAUGACAAAGGUCGUCCCCUAUGCUUCAGACGUAGGCUCUACAGUAUGCUAUGCUGUGUACCGCACCUGAAGUGUGCCUUGCCAUGAGUCAGUCAAGGGGUACAAGAGUGAUCCAGGAAUGGAUCACAGGGCAGCGGUCAAACUUAUCCUUAAUAACUAGUGGACUAAGGAAUUUUCUCGAUUAUGGAGGUGGUAAAAGAGUUCAACGUAAAGGGUUACGUCGAUGCAAAUUUUGAUACUAAUCUGGAUGACUAUGAGUAGUAAACCGGAUUCAUAUAGUAGACCCGUUAUUUGGAAUAGUUCCAAAUAGCACGUGGUAGCUGCAUCUACAAGAUGGCAUAGAGAUUUGUAAAACACACAUGGAUCUGAAAGGUUUAGACCCGUUGACUAAUAACCUCUCUCACAAGCGAGAUAUGAUCAAACCCCAUGGGUGUUGAAUUCAUUACAAUCACAUAGUGAUGUGAACUAGAUUAUUGACUCUAGUGCAAGUGGGAGACUGUUGGAAAUAUGCCCUAGAGGCAAUAAUAAAAUAGUUAUUGUUGUAUUUCCUUGUUCAUGAUAAUUGUCUAUUGUUCAUGCUAUAAUUGUAUUAACUGGAAACCGUAAUACAUGUGUGAAUACAUAGACCACUACAUGUCCCUAGUGAGCCUCUAGUUGACUAGCUCGUUGAUCAAUAGAUGCUUAUGGUUUCCUGACCAUGGACAUUAGAUGUCAUUGAUAACGGGAUCACAUCAUUAGGAGAAUGAUGUGAUGGACAAGACCCAAUCCUAAGCAUAGCACAAGAUCGUGUAGUUCGUUUGCUAAAGCUUUUCUAAUGUCAAGUAUCAUUUCCUUAGACCAUGAGAUUGUGCAACUCCCGGAUACCGUAGGAAUGCUUUGGGUGUGCCAAACGUCACAACGUAACUGGGUGGCUAUAAAGGUGCACUAUGGGUAUCUCCGAAAGUGUCUGUUGGGUUGGCACGAAUCGAGACUGGGAUUUGUCACUCCGUAUGACGGAGAGGUAUCUCUGGGCCCACUCAGUAAUGCAUCAUCAUAAUGAGCACAAUGUGACUAAGUAGUUAGUCACGGGAUCAUGCAUUAUGGAACGAGUAAAGUCACUUGCUGGUAACGAGAUUGAACGAGGUAUUGGGAUACCGACGAUCGAAUCUCGGGCAAGUAACAUACCGAUUGACAAAGGGAAUUGCAUACGGGAUUGCUUGAAUCCUUGACAUGGUGGUUCAUCCGAUGAGAUCAUCGUGCAACAUGUGGGAGCCAACAUGGGUAUCUAGAUCCUGCUGUUGGUUAUUGGCCGGAGAGAUGUCUCGGUCAUGUCUGCAUGGUUCCCGAACCCGUAGGGUCUACACACUUUAGGUUCGGUGACGUUAGAGUUGUUAUGGGAAAUAGUAUGUGGUUACCGAAGGUAGUUCGGAGUAUCGGAUGAGAUCCCGGACAUGACGAGGAUCUCCGAAAUGGUCCGGAGGUGAAGAUCGGUAUAUUGGACGAAGGGUAUUGGAGUCCGGAACUGUUCCGGGGGUACCAGGCUAUGGCCAGCAUGACCGAAAGGUGUUUCGGGAGCCCCGACAAGUGUUGGAGGGCCUCAUGGGCCAAAGGGGAAGGGGAAAACCAGCCCACUAAGGGGUGGUGCACCCCCCCACACACACACACCCACACACCCUUUCCCACGUUAUUUAGGGAGGUGGGGCGCCUCCACCUGGCUUGUGAGGCAAUCCUCCACUUGCUUGGCUUGGGGGGCAAGUCUCCCUAGGAUUUUCCCUAGGGAGAUCCAAUCUGCUUGGCCUCCGCCCCCUAGGGGAAAUCCUAGGGCACCUCCCCCUCUCCCCUUACCCCUAUAUAUAGUGGAGGGGUGGGAGGGCAGCCGCACCUCUUCCCUGGCGCAGCCCUCUCCCUCCUCGAACACCUCCUCCUCCUCCGUAGUGCUUGGCGAAGCCCUGCCGGAGAACCACGAGCUCCAUCACCACCAUGUCGUCGUGCUGUCGGAGUUUUCUCUCAACUUCUCCUCUCCCCUUUCUGGAUCAAGAAGGAGGAGACGUCCCCGGGCUGUACGUGUGUUGAACGCGGAGGCACAGUUGUUCGGUGCUUAGAUCGGAAUCAACCGCGAUCUGGAUCGCUACGAGUACGACUCCUUCAUCCGCGUUCUUGCAACGCUUCCGCUUAGCGAUCCUCAAGAGUAUGAAGAUGCACUCCCCUCUCCCUCAUUGCUAGUCUCUCCAUAGAUUGAUCUUGGUGAUGUGUAGAAAAUUUUGAAUUUCUGCUACGUUCUCCAACAAAAAUUUCCACCAGGUUUAUUGCGGUUAUCUGGGCUUCGAAUGAAGUUUAAAUCGCCCAAAAUGAGCCAAUCUUCAUUGAGAGGUAUAUUCAAGUCAAAAAGCCAUUGGAUGAAUUCUUUGCGUUGAGAGGGAUAUUCAAAAAAAUGAGCCAAUCUGUAACUUUCAAUAUCUCUGUUGCUGAAAAUGUAGGCACUCUGAGUAUUACCUCUGCUUCAACAGCCACCACUCAGUUUGAAACAUUGAGAUACGCGGUUUAAAAAUUGUUUCCAAUUGUGCGGAAUUAACCUGUAUAGCCUAUCAUGUCAUUUGAUGAGCUAAGAACAAAAAAGAAGUCUUGCCCAUCCCCUGUUGGCAUUGUACAUAAGUUCAAGGCAUCUGAGAAAACAAUGCAUUUUAAUUUCAGGUUACGAAUUGGGCGUGCUCCUCCGGAUAGAGCACCCUGUGCUGGUACAGUCACUCCUUUAGAGGAAACAACAAGGAGAUACUCUAAUAAACCGUCGGACAAUGUAAUAAAGCCAGAGAUUGGUAUGAGUUUUGAUUCCCUUGGAGAAGUGUACGAUUUCUAUAACUUGUAUUCUUGGGAGGUUGGAUUUGGUAUGAGAUAUGGCAAGAGCCGUUUGAACGUCGAGCGGACAAAGUGUUUGCAAGAGAUCGUCUGUGGAUGCUCGGUCAACACUUAAAACCUUUUGAUAUUAUCUUUGACAUUUUCUUUCAUAAUUAUUGCACUGUAAUUCAUAUUUAAAUAGCUGAUAGAGUGGAAAAAUAUUGCAGGGAAAACCAGAGCAACAGAAUAGCCGGUCUUGCCGCUGUGAGUGCCCUGCGAUGACACAGGAGGCAAGAGAAAGGAGUCCCCGACUCAGUCCGUGGAAUCGUCUGGGGAAGCCUGAGCAGCAAAACAGCCGGUCUUGCUGAUGUGAAUGCCCUGCAAUGUUUUCGAGGAUGGGGCUUAGAGCAUGGUUAAUAGCACAGCCGGCUGCUGGCUAUAAACCCCCUCCACAUCAUCUAUAAAGCCUUCACACACAAUAGGUUGGCUUUUAGGUUGGCUAUAAGAGUGACUCUAAUAAAGACUUAAAUAUUUAAUGCUUGUUGUAUACCUGUUAUGAUCGAAUGUAAACAACAUCUUUGUGGCCAAUAUUUCACACAGACUAGUUGACUAAGUCUCCUCAAUUUUGUUAGUUGACUAAUUCCAAAGUGUGGGCAAAUAUUAUGAAAUAGCACAGUCAAUAUUAUCUGUUUUUCAUACUGUACACUAUAUUCCCUGUUCCCUGUUCUUCACUGUUUUUUCGCUUCCACAAAACUUGAUUCAGAUAAACUUGGUGCUAAUACAAAUAGGAAAUUUCAGUAGAUUUAGUGAUCUUGUACAGUACUUUAUUUUAUUUUCCAUUGCACAAUGCUUACAUAUGGACAUGGAGCUUCUAAGAUUAAGAUUAAUGUGCAUGUUUCUCCUUUUCUGUCCACUAUGAAGGAUGGUCUUGCACUAGGAUCAGUUACUGAAAUUCAACUUCUGUAAUUACCUAUAUGACUACAAUCUUCUUGGUUACUGCUGCAAAUAAAUUCAUCAAUAGUUUUUCAUCCCCAUGAAUUACUCUAGUAUAUAUAUCAUACAAGUGAACAACAGCCAGAUCAUACAAAUAUAUGACACCACGAAGGGCCAUCUGAUUGUUCAGACUUCAGAGUUGACAUAAACAGGGACACAAGUGUAUCAACUAGCAGUGCUUGUGGAUCUGGGUCGUCAAUAUACCAAGGAGAUGUAGUAGAGCACCAAUGUUGGCCGUCGGUGCCCAGCAAGGACCUUCAGCCGAAGAAUCUGCUGCACUCGGCCUGGCGGGUCAGCAUGGUGCAGAGGAGGCCGGCGGCAUGAUCAGAGUCGGGACGAAGUGAGGCAGCGGCGGCAUGACGAGUUCAGGCGCCGGCCGGACGAACCGAUGCGCCUGCGGCCGGAUGAGAUGAGGCGCCGGCGCCACGUCGACCUGAGGCUCCGAUGGAGGGCCACCAGAGGAACCGGUGCACGCGUCCUUCUAGGAUGCUGGCCAUCUCGUUGAUGCUGCGCCGCCGGCGAUUCUAGGAUUCACGAGGUGGCAAAUUGGGGCUGAUUUUGGAGGCUUUAUAUCUUCGAUUUGGCGGAUGAAAACGAUUUGGGGCGAGGGAAGGAAGGAUUUGGCGCGGUGGUGAUGGAAGAAGCGCGGGAGGUGAGGAAGACGCACGGGAUCCAGAGCGCCGGCUCUAGCGCUUGCAACGGGCUGCAAGCGGGCGGCUGUUCUUGGGUUUCUGUGUUGUAGCCGGGCGACUCAUGGAGCGCCCGCUCCCUUCUCUCUCCUGCCUUCUCUCCCCUCCAAGUAUACUUUUUCUGACGUGGAACGGCUUACAGCCAGCUGACUAGGCAUUAUUGUACUUGCUCUACUAGGUCGAGGAAAUUGAACGAAAGAAGUACAUUGCAAGACACAACAAUGACGACAACCGUGGGAGGUGGAGCAAGGUUGUUUAUGAGGUGACCAUGUUGGACGAUGGCGAGUGGUUUGAGUGUGAAUGCGGGCAUUUCGCCGACAUGGGAUGCUGCGCUGUCAUGCUUUCAAGGUAUUUUGGGAUCAUAAUUUUGGUCAUUGCUUAUCUGUCCGUGAAAAUAAUGUUUCAUUUUGCAUGUUUCAGGUUAUAGAUUAUGUUGGCGUGACCCAGAUACCGAAGCGGCACAUCCUCAAAAGAUGGACGAAAAAAAAUCCUAGGGACAUCGUGGCCCAGCACCUUGCUCACUUCCAAAGAGACCAAGCCGUGAACCGAUCUUUCAUCCGUCGGAGCUCGACCCUCUACCUAUAUGCCAUGCAUGGAGCUGGUUAGGUUUGGGGAUUAAUCCGUCGUGACGUAUGCACUCGUGCUGGGUCAGAUAAAGGAUAUAAUUGUGGAGGCAUCACCGCUAGCUGAAAGCCCGAAACAAGAGAUGUGCUUGGCUAUGAGGAGAGACAAGCUGUUGAGGCAAAUCACAAUCACAUUGCAUUGGCGGGCACAAACAUCAACAUUGAGGGAGAGAUGAUUGACAACGAGAACAUUGUGACCCUUUCUGGUAACUGGGAUGCACUUGCUGACUGUGCAAUAAACCUGGUUCCCAUGCUCAAGCUAUUGGGAAAGGUCUUGGCUGUAGAUGCGGAUGACUCGGGCAGUUUCUUAGGGUCAGAAUUGAGCUACCACUUAACCGUCGCUUGCAGAUGCAAGUAUCCAUUGGAAUCAAGGGAAGUGCACACGAACCAGAAAAGUAUGAACUAAGGUAUGAGAGGGUGCCGCACUACUGUUUUUGGUGUGGUUUCAUUGGCCAUGAUGAUACAGAGUGUGAGAAGAAAAGAUUGGGGGUGCCAAAGAGGGAGUGUGAUGACAGGUUGAGGUGCUCUCCUCUGCGUAAAUUUGAACACCGCCCAUCGAACAUUCCAGCAGGGGCAAAGCCUACAUCGGCAAGGGGCUUAGAUUUUUCCUCAGGCAGCAUGGGAUCAUCAAAUCUGGGAGGUGCACCAAUGGGUCGAAGUAGUAGACGCAACAUGCAGAUGGAGCAGCAUAUACCUGAACGUGUGGAUGCUAGGGAUGGUUUUGAACAUCAGGAGAGAAGGGGUGAACCGGUUGUGGAUGCGGCCUUAGCUGGACAGAUUCGGGCCAUGCAUAUGCGCCUUCAUAGAGAGAUUCCUAAGUCGAGUAAUAUGCAUGAACCUGGCGGCCGUAAGCAACAUAAAACUGCUGGGCGCGGGCCAGGAAGGAUCCCUAUGCCCAUUCCACUGGCAUGUAAACCUCCAGUAAAGAUGUUUGGACCGCUGGACUUGAUGCAUUCACCGGAUAUGAUACCGUCUAUGAGAGGCACUGAUUCACUUGUGGUUUCCUAUGGACCAUCUGAUGUAGUCAUGUCUGAUGCUGAGUCGGUCCUUGGGAAGCGUCAGGCCCUUAGUGAUGCUGAUCAUGAGGAGGAGCACCAGGGGGGUACACAUGUGGUGGAUCAAGACAGGGAAGAGGAGGGUGGAAAAUCUAAAAAAGGCAAAGUCAAGAGGACAGAGGAGGCUAUUGGACGGGACACGGGGGCGAAGGGAGAGGUGGACAUGGAGGCAACCAGCCCAGGGGCCGCUGGUAAACUGACGGGGCCAGUUGUGGCGCCCCGUCAGGAGCAAUGAAUUGUUUAAGUUGGAACUGUCGGGGUGUUGGGAAUAAACCGACAGUUCGGGAUUUGGUGGCUUUGGUUUGGGCUACUGAAUCAAAGAUUGUGUUCCUGUGUGAGACUAGACAAAGUGCAGAAAAAGUCCGUCGUCUUCGUGCUAGAUUGGGUCUUAGAGGUUUUGCUGGUGUCGACAGUGUUGGGCUUACUGGGGGUCUUGCUUUGUUUUGGUGUGAUCAGAUGUACGUGGAUGUUAAAGAUUCGAAUGAAAGAUAUAUUGAUGCGUAUGUGCGUGUGUCCCCCAGUGCUCCGAUGUGGCGUUUAACUUGUGUUUAUGGCGAACCACAAACGGAAAACCGUCAUCGUAUGUGGGCAACAAUGCAAAAUCUGAAAGUGCAGUCUGACCUUCCUUGGUGUGUCAUAGGGGAUUUUAAUGAAGCUCUCUGGUCCUUUGAACAUAUGUCAGCCACCCCAAGAAGUGAACCUCAGAUGCAAGCCUUCAGGGAUGUACUGGAAACUUGUAAUCUGGUGGAGUUGGGGUUCCAAGGCCUCCCAUUCACAUAUGAUAAUAAACGGCGUCGAAACAGAAACGUUAAAGUGCGGUUGGAUCGAGCGGUGGCGGACAACAACCUUGUUCUGACCAUCUUCCUAUUUUACUAAAGUGUGUUGCCGAUGAAGAAAAGGUAUACAGGCCGAGUUUUAGAAGGUAUGAAAUUUUCUGGAAAAGAGAUGCAAGUCUACAGGAAAGAAUUGCCAAUGCCUGGGAGGAGGCCGGUGCCAAGUUUAACCUUGGUGAUGUCCGGGAGGGGCUCAAGAGUUUAUUACUUAAUCUGCAUGCGUGGGGAAAGAAAAGGUUUGUAACGUCACUAGAGAGCUUGAGAAGUCCAGAACUAAAUUAGAAGAGCUGCUCAAUAUGAAUGCGGACAGAGAUGAAAUAAAAAAGGUCUCUGACCAUAUGAAUGAAUUGUUGUACCAGGAGGAAAUGCUGUGGCUGCAACGGUCGUGCAUCGGCUGGCUAAAAGAGGGCGAUCGGAAUACAGAAUUCUUUCACAGGAAAGCGAUUUGGCGUGCUCGUAAAAAUAAGGUGAGAAGUUUAAUUGAUAACAAUGGUGUUGAACAUGCAGAUCACAAGGCGAUGGGUGGCCUAGUGCAGGAAUAUUUUCAGAACAUCUUUUCCAGGGAUACGUCGUUGAACCCAACUCCGGUGGUGAACCUCUUCGAGCCUGUGGUCACUGAUGCGAUGAAUGUAAAUCUGUGUGCUGAAUUUUCAGAGAAGGAGAUAGCUGAUGGGCUCUUUCAGAUCUGUUAGCAAUAAACCACGCAUUGUAUGGGUCAUGCGCGUAGUUAGUUGUAGUGGAUAUCCGAGCGUCGGAUGCUGGCCAAGUCUUGGACAUGGGACAGCUGCAGUCCCGUUCGUGUGGAGAGGCAGGUCCGGGUCAUGUGGAUCAUGGGUGAUCAAAUCAGCUAUUAGUGCGUGAGUGCAUGUAGUGGAGCAGGGCGUGUGCAUAAGAGCCGGGCAGGUUGUUGCCUGGCUGUGUGCGUGUGUGUGUGAGCUAUAUAUAGCCAUGUACGUGUGUGGUGUGUCCACCGAGGUUUGUAGCCAUGUAGCCACUGUAAAGAAGAAAAGGAUUGGAGCGUUCGUGCGCCCGUGGCGGCGUUCGUGCGCCGGUCGGAAAAUUUUGUGUCCAUUGUUCUUCUUCUUCCACCUCCGUUCGAUUGUGAGGAGAGGUAGCUAGAGGGCUGCGGUUCCAACAUUUGGUAUCAGAGCCGGUUUCAUCUUGGGUGUCGCCUCUUGCCGGAGGCGUGCCGGCGGUGGCAGCGCUCGCCGGCGGCUGCGCGAUGGAGCUCCGGGCCGUGUGUCGGCCCAUGGAGGUGGGCGGCGUUGUGGCUCUCAUGGCGCGUGGCGGAUGCGGCGGGCGGUGAUGUCGUGCGUGCGGCGACCGCGGAGGCCGCCGAGGCGCUGCGUGGUGGCGCGGCGGCGCAGCACGGCAUGGCGGCAUGGAGGCCGCGGCGGUGCAGGGCAAUAAGACGCGGCGGCGAGCCGGGCGCGACCGGUGCGUGUUAUGGGUGCGCACUGGACGUGUCGGGCGCGUCGGGACCGCGGGAGUGGACCGCGUCGAGGCGCUAGACCUGGUUGCGCAGAUCACGUACGUGCACGGUGGGAGCGCGGGCCGGGAGCGCGGGGACGUGAGGAGUGCGCGCGAAGGGCACGGCGGUCGCGGAGACGAGAAGGUCGCGAAGGACCUGCGUGGUGGCGCAGAGGUCGCGACGGCUCGGAGCGACAACCAUGGAAGGUGCGUGGCACGGAGGCGCGGCGUGGCGGCUGCCAUGGCGAACGCGGAGGCGGCACGCGGUGAGCGUCUGGUGCUGUCGGGCUCGUCGGGCGCGUUGAGUGUGCGCGGGACGUGCGGGACGCACUGGUGCGGUCGGGCUCGUCGGGUGCGUCGGGUGCGCGCGGGACGUGUGGCGCUCGGAGGGACGCCAGGCGUGUGUCGCCGGCGGAGAAGGAGCUCGGCGUAUGUCGCCGGGGUCGUGACGGAGCACGGUGCGACCGGCGUCAGUGCGCCAUGUCGGGUCCGUGGCGGUGCGACCGGCGUCGAUGCGCCGGGUCGGGUCCGCGGACUGGGUCACGGUUGUGACGACGACAACAACGAGAGCUGCAACAACUUCGGCGGCGGCAAGGUCGUAGUUUAGGGGGAGAGUGUUAGCAAUAAACCACGCAUUGUAUGGGUCAUGCGCGUAGUUAGUUGUAGUGGAUAUCCGAGCGUCCGAUGCUGGCCAAGUCUUGGACAUGGGACAGCUGCAGUCCCGUUCGUGUGGAGAGGCAGGUCCGGGUCAUGUGGAUCAUGGGUGAUCAAGUCAGCUAUUAGUGCGUGAGUGCAUGUAGUGGAGCAGGUCGUGUGCAUAAGAGCCGGGCAGGUUGUUGCCUGGCUGUGUGCGUGUGUGUGUGAGCUAUAUAUAGCCAUGUACGUGUGUGGUGUGUCC